rnacentral:rRNA from 1 species
GACGAACGCUGGCGGCGUGCUUAACACAUGCAAGUCGAACGGAAAGGCCUUUUCGGAGGUACUCGAGUGGCGAACGGGUGAGUAACACGUGGGUGAUCUGCCCUGCACUCUGGGAUAAGCCUGGGAAACUGGGUCUAAUACCGGAUAGGACCGCACUUUAGUGUGUGUGGUGGAAAGUUUUUUCGGUGUAGGAUGAGCCCGCGGCCUAUCAGCUUGUUGGUGGGGUAAUGGCCUACCAAGGCGGCGACGGGUAGCCGGACUGAGAGGUUGGUCGGCCACAUUGGGACUUGGGUAAGGCCCCGGACCCUACAGGAGGCAGCAGUGGGGAAGAUUGCACAAUGGGCGCAAGCCUGAUGCAGCGACGCCGCGGGGGGGAUGACGGCCUUCGGGUUGUAAACGCCUUUCGCCAGGGACGAAGCGUUUUGUGACGGUACCUGGAGAAGAAGCACCGGCUAACUACGUG